rnacentral:rRNA from 1 species
AUACGGAGGAUCCGAGCGUUAUCCGGAUUUAUUGGGUUUAAAGGGUGCGCAGGCGGCCAUUUAAGUCAGCGGUUAAAUCGUGGGGCUCAACCCCAUUCUGCCGUUGAUACUGGGUGGCUUGAUUGCGGUCGAGGUUGGCGGAAUUCGUUGUGUAGCGGUGAAAUGCAUAGAUAUGACGAAGAACACCGAUUGCGUAGGCAGCUGACCAGACCGCAAAUGACGCUCAUGCACGAAAGUGCGGGGAUCGAACAGGAUUAGAUACACUGGUAGACCGAACAGUAAACGAUGAAUACUUGUUUUUGGCGAUAUAAUGUCGGAGGCAAAGCGAAAGCGAUAAGUAUUCCACCUGGGGAGUACGCCGGCAACGGUGCAACUCAAAUGAAUUGUCGGGG